rnacentral:rRNA from 1 species
AUUGAACGCUGGCGGCAUGCCUUACACAUGCAAGUCGAACGGUAACGGGCCUUCGGGUGCCGACGAGUGGCGAACGGGUGAGUAAUGUAUCGGAACGUACCUUUCAGUGGGGGAUAACGUAGCGAAAGUUACGCUAAUACCGCAUAUUCUGUGCGCAGGAAAGCAGGGGAUCGCAAGACCUUGCGCUGAUUGAGCGGCCGAUAUCAGAUUAGCUAGUUGGUGAGGUAAAGGCUCACCAAGGCGACGAUCUGUAGCGGGUCUGAGAGGAUGAUCCGCCACACUGGAACUGAGACACGGUACAGACGCAUAAGGGAGGGAGAAGUGGGGAAUUUUGGACAAGGGGGGCAACCCUGAUCCAGCCAUGCCGCGUGAGUGAAGAAGGCCUUCGGGUUGUAAAGCUCUUUCGGCCGGGAAGAAAUCGUAUCAGCUAAUACCUGGUGCGGAUGACGGUACCGGCAUAAGAAGCACCGGCUAACUACGUGCCAGCAGCCGCCGUAACAC